GUACUGCUAUUUAAGGGCCGCUGCUGCCGCCGUCCGUAGCAACGCAUAGGCCGCUUGCCCAGCUCCCUCAUUCCGAGCACGGCACCACGCGUCGGAGCUUGUCGGGAGGCACGGAAGGACGAACAGAGUUCUACCGGUGAUCCGUGUUGUCGUUGACGGUGUCAUAGGAUCUGCGGUGCACGUGGACAAGGCGAUGGGGCUGCCAACCUACCUCCUCUUCACCACAGCACAUGUGGAUUCUUGGGCUACCUCAACUUGGAUCAGCUUUUUCAAGAGGGGAUGCUUGCCAUUCAGAGAGUGUUCAGAAUAAUACUUUGCAAGGGACAGGAGCGCGAUGUCAAGCAGCAGUAGCAGGUUCUGCAGCUUCGACGACCCUGGUGAGUCCACGGUCGUGCUCAACUCCCGCCAGCAGGGCGCGAAGGAGUUUCCCCUUGAACCCCAUGACCUGAUUCUCAGGUUCGUAAUUUAGCCUAUUUUUGGCUGUUGAUCACUCCUUUGUUUCUUUGUACAUGUUCUGAUUAAUGGUGCUUUGGAACAGUUCAACAUGUAGUUUUUGAUGGGAUUUAGUAUUUUUGGGCUGUUGAGAUGGAACAGUUCAACACGGUCGUAAUUUUGGGCUGUUGAGGUGGGAUUUAGUACAAAUCUGGGGAGCUGAAGCUUAAGAAGUUACAGAAUGAGUUUGCCUCGUUUUUCACUCUAUAUAUUGAUUUUAUUGACUACAAAGAUUUUGUAUUUUCCAUCGUCAAAACAGGCUGCACUAUUCCUAAAUUUUAUGACUAAUGGAGCUGUAUGGUGCAAUCUAAGCUGGAGUACAACUUGUAUGCUUAUUUAUAUCCCUCCUAUUGCUAAUACGCAGGAAGAUAUUUAUCAUAUAUUUUUGUUGCCUCAUAAAAAAAUGAACCUAAUGUUCUUCCCUGAUAUACUAUUAGUCACGGUGUUGGCUAUUGUUAUUUGAAGUAUAGAUUGAAAUGCUUCAGAUAUUGUGCCUUAUGAAAGAACACACUUAUGUUAUGAAAUCAAACUUUCCAGUUUCUAAAAAGAUUAAGUGUCUGUUGGCUGCUAAUAAUUUUGUUUAUAAAUAAAUUAUAUUGUUGUUUAUUAUAUAUGCAGGUUGAUUUGAACAAUGUAUAAGGUCGCCACUGCUGGCCGAGUUGGAUACCCAUUUGUGGUCCUUUUUUCCUUGUUCUUGUUGUACAGAUGACAGUUCAUGGAUUUCUGAUAUGAUUGCUUCAGUGAUGAUUUUUGCAGAACCACAUGCCGAUGGUGCACUUGCCUUUGGAAUUAAAGAUUAGCUUACUACACUAACCAGAUAUCAUAUAUAAAUACUCUACUCUACAGCAGUAUGAAGGGAUUUCAGGGCUAGCAAAUAUGUUAAAGAUAGAUACAGAGAAAGGCGAUUAGGGGAGUGGAUUCCGAUAAUGAUGCGAAAAAAAUUCCUUUGGGUCGAACACAUACUCUUGAAAGAAAGCAAGAAGCUUCUUGGUAAUGGAGAUGGUUCUCUUAUAUUUGGCAGGAGUCAGAAAAAAUCCAGCAUGGAAAAACACCACAUUCAACAUGGUGUAAUUAUGAUGAUCUAAACGAGUAUUCCUGGACUUCUGAUUGUUUCUCACUGCCAUGACCAAUACGGGAUGAUGGUGGCUUCUUCAAAUAUGUGCAAGAUAUGUCCUCUUUAGCAUCACUGUAUUUUUGAAAACGUUAUAUCUGAAUUUAGAGUGCACUUCUGCAAAAAAAGAUUUUGUCCUGAUUACUAUUUCGAUUUUAUUUCUGUAGGCACUGUGAAAUGAUCGAAUGCCGCUAAUCAUUUUGGAGGUUUGUUGUAGGGUGCUCUACCAGGUCAUAAUAUGCACCCACACAAUUCAAGUUCAUAUUCUGGAAGGACAUUGACCAACGAACCUUGUAGUAAUGUUACAGGUCAUAAAAUUGUGUAUUCCUACUAACCAUCAUUGCAUGUGUGCAGUGGUUAGAGAUUUUGUAGUGGAUAAUCAAUUAUCUUUAUCUUCUUCUAACUCAAGGAAUCAUACUGCAACAUUUCCUCCAGUGCAGGCAAACUCGAAUGAUAGUUAGUAAACUUGAAAAUCUGGGUGAUGAAGCUGACUCAAUAGAUCCAGAUUUUGGCCGCUAAAGCUGGUAGUGCAUCCUUGUCUAUGGUGUGGACAGAGGGAGAAAGGAGGCAAUUAACUACAGUCUAAAUGUAAAAUAAAAUCGUCUGAAUUAAAAUAGAAUCUGAUAAAACAAAACAAAGGAGGUCAUUAACUAGAGAAUUAGGCUGGACUAGAUAUACAUAUUAUACUGUAUUUUCCCACUAAAAACAUCCAGCGGGGAGGCUGAUGCAGCACUAUCACGAAUUGUUCCAGCUCUUCCUGAAUCGAUAUGGUUUGUCGAUGUUGGGAUCCUCGACGGUGAUUAGCAACUGAAUCGUGGAUGGAAGUACACUUUACUUCAAAGGAUUGCACACAUAUGAAGCGGUUAUUGAUGAAGUCAUGGAAAAGGGACUUGCCAAUGCUACACAGUCAUGAAAUCUUUGUCUGUUUCACUCUUCUUCCAUACAUGAUGUGCAAGGUUCUUGGGAUGCUCGGUACUGUUGCCAGGAGGUACGAAAUGGUUUGAUCUGUCAAGCAUGGAUUGCUGAAGCACAAAAUACAAGGGGGUGCAUGAGGAGGCGAGAGCUGACGGCAACCAUUGGAGGAGGUCUGGUCGGUCGAAGAGUAAGGCGUCGGCAACUCCGGAGAGAUUUGGCUUGAGCAAAUGUCGAUGCUACUGCAAUGAGAAGACCCUUUUCUGUGAGCCCUAUCCCUCUCAUUUAGCGUCUCGAUUUUGGGUUCUUCUGCUCCCUGUUUCUCUGUUCAUUUGUGGUGAUGGAUAGAAAGCAUCCAUACUUCCAUAGGCAGAAGCUUGCACUUACCAAAUAGGCAUGUAAUUCAGGCAAUAGCUGAGCUCCCAGCCUCCUAAGACUGGCAUGGGCACAUCAAUAAGGGCAUGGAGCCCGUCAAAGAGGAGGUCGGAGCGGCGUUGGACCUGGAUCAACUCAUCUAAAUCAAGCGGCCGGCCUCGGCUGGGAGUCACCGACGCUCCACCUGGACGGCGUCGGCUGGGACAGCUCCACAUGCAAUGGCUGGCCGGGGACCAGACCUCGACAGGAACGUGUUGCCCUUUGAGCCGGUGCAGAGCGACAAGUUCGUAGCAUCGUUAUAGUUUUUUGCACAAAGAUAGACCCUGUAGUACUGAUCAGGUGAAACAGAUCGAUGUGGCACUGGUACUGAACUGAAGCAACAAUUUGUUCAACAAAA